rnacentral:tRNA from 1 species
CGCGGGGUAGAGCAGCUGGAAGCUCGUCGGGCUCAUAACCCGGAGGCCGCAGGUUCGAGUCCUGCCCCCGCUA